UACAGAGGGUGCGAGCGUUAAUCGGAAUUACUGGGCGUAAAGCGCACGUAGGCGGCUUGGUAUGUCGGGUGUGAAAACCCCGGGCUCAACCUGGGAACUGCAUCCGAAACUGUCUUGCUCGAGUAUGGGAGAGGGAAGUGGAAUUUCCGGUGUAGCGGUGAGAUGCGUAGAUAUCGGAAGGAACAUCAGUGGCGAAGGCGGGUUGCUGGGCUGGCACUGACGCUGAUGCGCGAAAGCCAGGGGAGCGAACGGG
rnacentral:rRNA from 1 species